rnacentral:rRNA from 1 species
GGGGAAUCUUGCACAAUGGGGGAAACCCUGAUGCAGCCAUGCCGCGUGUGUGAAGAAGGCCUUCGGGUUGUAAAGCACUUUCAGUCAGGAGGAAGGUGGUGUAGCUAAUAUCUGCACCAAUUGACGUUACUGACAGAAGAAGCACCGGCUAACUCCGUGCCAGCAGCCGCGGUAAUACGGAGGGUGCGAGCGUUAAUCGGAAUUACUGGGCGUAAAGGGUGCGUAGGCGGUUUAUCAAGUCAGGGGUGAAAGGCUACGGCUCAACCGUAGUGAGCCUCUGAAACUGGUGAACUUGAGUGUAGGAGAGGAAAGUGGAAUUCCCAGUGUAGCGGUGAAAUGCGUAGAUAUUGGGAGGAACACCAGUGGCGAAGGCGACUUUCUGGACUACAACUGACGCUGAGGCACGAAAGCGUGGGGAGCAAACA